UGGAGUUCAUUCCAGUCACACAUGCUCUUACGUCUCUCCUGAAGUUGCCUGUUAAAGUAUUGCAGGAGUUUAAAGUCAGUUCCAACUUUACAUGGCUUUGCAUCCCUUCGUCAACUGGAAAUCGAGGGCUUUCAUGGGACAAGUCCACUGAUUGGCCUAGAGUCCUGUACCUCGCUCCAUUCACUGCGUAUCUAUGGUUGUGAACACUUGACACAUUUACCAGAUGGGCUAAAAAUUCUUCUCUCUUGAGGAAUUGACAAUAAGCAGGUGUCCUAGUCUACAAACUAUUCCGAGCUUAGACAACCUUGCCCACCUCCGUGAGUUGAAGAUAUCAUUUUGUGCUGGAUUGAAAAGUCUACCCCGUGGAUUAGCAUCCCCACACUGCCUCACCAGCUUGAAGGAGUUGGAAAUUGGUCGGUUUUCGAUGGUGCUCCAUUCAUUUCCUACUUUUCAGGUAUCACAACUUGAAAGAUUGAGUUUGUGGGGUUGGCCUAAGCUCGAGUCUCCGCCUGAACAAGUUCAAAACUUACUUCUCUAACAUGUUUGGAAAUACCAUCCUUUGACUGAAUGGAGGCUCUUCCAGAGUGGCUGAGAAACCUUGCAUCUCUUGAGUAUCUACGUAUAAUUUGGUGCGCGAAUCUGAUUAAUCUACCUACAGUUGAAGCUGUACAGUAUCUCACCAAGUUAAAAGAGAUAUGCAUUAGUGGUUGUCCCUUUUUAAAAGAGAGAUGCAACAAGGAGAGCGGUGCAGAAUGGCCCAAGAUUUCACAUAUUCCAAAGAUCACAGUUCAAGAUUGAGGAUGCUCAUUAACAGAGACCCGACUUGUCAACCUGGAUGGAAUCAAAUUCAGUAAGCUUACAAAGUAUCCCCAAAUGCUAAAUGUUUCGAAGUAGUGUGCAGUGGUGGUGUGAAGUUUAUACAACUCAAGUCAGUCAUUCAUCUCGAGUUCCAUGAGACAUAUGCUGGUGGAGGCAGUUGAAGCUAUGUGCCUGCAGUUGUAUGUCUGGUUGUGGAAAAUUGAUUUCGUUGCAUUGGAUGCAUGGUGGGUUUAUAGGUUGUUUUUACUCAACUUGAGGAGCUCUUAGGCAAUGGGUACAAACAGAGUCGAGAUAUUAGGAAACAGUAAUUCAUGAGAUUAUGGUUGUCAUACUGAUAGUGUACCUCCUAGAGUUGGCUUGGUGGGAGAUUGGAAGCAUUUAUGGUUUUGAAACAGACUCAGGUUUCUUGGCAGCUUUAAAUUUUAUGGAGGAAUUGGUCAAAUGCAUUUUACACAUUCUCAUAUCUUCAGAUAAGGCAAUCAAGUUGAUGAGUGUGUCUCAAAUCAUGAAGUUCUGCAGUUCUGCUUUUUGGAAAGGUUCCCUUUUUUUUACCUUGUCCAUUUUCAUCAUUCUGUGUUGUAUGGUUAAACUUCUUCCAAAGGAACAUUUGUGUUAUGUGAUUUUCAUCUCAAGCAGGUUUAUGGACACCAUGAGUUCCUGCAACUCCCUCUCAAGCAAACUUCAACGAGCCAGGAUUUUAUGUUGUAUUUUUGUGAGCCUUAAUUAUUUCUGUAUUUUAUUCAUGUGUUUUGUAUCCCUGAUGGUAGGUCUUUUUAGAGUGAGAUGGUCUAAAAUUAGAAAGAUGGUUUGUGAGUUUUUGGAGUUCAUUGUUGACAAUUUGGGUGAGAAAAAU